ensembl:piRNA 21ur-14500 ncRNA
UUAUCUUUCAACUACUAUAGU